UUCACGUCCCUGUGAAUUCUUGUGGCGCUUGCAGCAGAUGUACGUGACGGCGAUUAUUAUGCCGAUGAGCAGCAGGAUGAGGAAGAUGGCAGAAGCGAUCACGCCCACGGAAUAAACUGUGAAGGACGAAAACAACACGACAUCACAAAUCACUUUACUUAAACAAACUUGUGAUAGUGUUAAUUGGAUGUAACAUGGGUUAAAUACACAUUUAGUUAAAACUGUACAUUCGUUACGUUCCUGUGUGAAAGCGACACCUUAUAUUUCAUCAUGUUCUUGGUGAAUGCAUUUAGGAGACACACACACACACACAUUUGCCUCACUCUUGGAAUUUGAUCAGACUUUUUUUUUGGAGAUUUAUUUAACGCCUUGCUCCUUCGCCGGAGAAAUGAUUUCAAACCGUCAACGGAGACUGUGAGCACACAGAGGCGUGAGGGAAUUCAGUAGUCAUGUGAAGUAAAAGCUCAAAUAACAAAAAAAUUUGGGGUGCGUAUUGCUUCUCCACUUUUUCCCCUGAAAUAUUUUCCUGACGAGAUCAAGCAACAACUGCAGAAGCAAGAGUUUAGGAUGGACGUCCCUGCAGGCCCUGGUGAGUUGGGACACUUUUUUUACAUUUCAAAAUACAUUCAUUUAAAUUUAUAUCCCAAAAACUAUAAUUUUCAUCAAGUAAUCUUUAACUACCGUAAGAUGCAUUUACUUGGCUUUGUGGUCCAGUGUGUCCUAAUCCGAUAACUCGUAAUCUGAUGAGAUGAGAUUGGAAUCUUAAACGUGUGUGCGUGUUUACUUCUACUACGCCAGCUGACAAACAUGCAGUUUCUUAUUUCUUCCUGUAGAGGGCACCGUCGGACGGAACUCAAAACAGCGGCUGCUGCAUGUGAACGUAGGAGCGCAGCAGCAGCUGCCGGACUGUUUGUGUUGAAGAAUUCCUCCGUGAUCCGUCCGUCUCAGUCAAAGAUCAUCCUCUAAUCUGAUUCACUUUGAUCGGGGGGGGGGGGGGUUUCUCCAAUCCGUCACAUGACGCCAGACGGUCUGACAUCUGCAUCAAGGUAAACUUUCGACAACACGAUGCUUCCGUUUAAAGAUAAGAUGUUGACCACCGCAAAUUACAUGCAACUGGAAUGUGGCACCCAAUUGAUCCCUUUAUUUCCAGCAAAUGUGGAAAUCCUUAAAAAUGUACCUGCAACCUUUUUCCGUGUAACUUUCCUAUCAGUAUUGGAACAAAAAAAAACUGGUUUUCAUUCUCAUGUGUUCCUCUUAAUUUUCUGUAUUUUGUUUUUCCCGUCCCUUUGCCAGGUUUAUUCCAUCGAGGUUUGUCGUCCUGCCCCGCGUCUGCGUGAGACGACACGACCGGGUCGACCUGGGACGUGUGUGUGUGCACAAACCAGCCAACCGUUUUAUUUAUCCAUAGCAGUGGAGCUGCACAUCUUUGGUUCGCGGACAAAACAAAAACAUCACCUUGAGGGUUUUGGGAAAACACGAUCGACAGCUAAUUUGGUCGAUUAAUCGAGAAAACAAUCGACCGAUUAAUGGAUAAUGAAAACAAUGACACGCACGCACACGCACACACACACACACACACAAACACACACACACACACACACACACACACUCCAGGUUUUUAAACGAAUUCCUCAUCUCUCAUCGCGGGACCCUCCACCUGGACUCACCUGAGGCGCAGCGCGCGGACAG